rnacentral:rRNA from 1 species
CGCUAGCGGCAGGCCUAACACAUGCAAGUCGAGGGGCAGCACAGAGAUAGUUUACUAUUUUGGUGGCGACCGGCGCACGGGUGAGUAACGCGUAUGCAACCUACCUUAUACAGGAGUAUAGCCCGAAGAAAUUCGGAUUAAUCCUCCAUAGUAUUUUCUAAUGGCAUCAUUUGGAAAAUUAAAGCUUCGGCGGUAUAAGAUGGGCAUGCGUCCUAUUAGCUAGAUGGUAAGGUAAUGGCUUACCAUGGCAACGAUAGGUAGGGGGCCUGAGAGGGUGACCCCCCACACUGGUACUGAGACACGGACCAGACUCCUACGGGAGGCAGCAGUGAGGAAUAUUGGGCAAUGGAGGCAACUCUGACCCAGCCAUGCCGCGUGCAGGAAGAAUGCCCUAUGGGUUGUAAACUGCUUUUAUUUAGGAAUAAACCCUUCUACGUGUAGAAGGCUGAAUGUACUAAACGAAUAAGCACCGGCUAACUCCGUGCCAGCAGCCGCGGUAAUACGGAGGGUGCAAGCGUUAUCCGGAAUCAUUGGGUUUAAAGGGUCCGCAGGCGGACGUAUAAGUCAGUGGUGAAAUCCUGCAGCUUAACUGCAGAACUGCCAUUGAUACUGUACGUCUUGAAUUUCGGUCGAAGUGGGCGGAAUGUGUAGUGUAGCGGUGAAAUGCAUAGAUAUUACACAGAACACCGAUAGCGAAGGCAGCUCACUAGGCCUGGAUUGACGCUCAGGG